rfam:Gallus gallus isolate RJF #256 breed Red Jungle fowl, inbred line TCD001 chromosome 16, whole genome shotgun sequence.
GUCAGGAUGGCCGAGUGGUCUAAGGCGCCAGACUCAAGGCUGAGCCUUCCCCAUGGGAUUUCUGGUCUCCGCAUGGAGGCGUGGGUUCAAAUCCCACUUCUGACA